UACGUAGGGGGCUAGCGUUGUCCGGAAUCAUUGGGCGUAAAGCGCGCGUAGGCGGUCAGGUAAGUCCGGUGUGAAAGUCAAAGGCUCAACCUUUGAAUGCCGCUGGAUACUGCCUGACUUGAGUCCGGAAGGGGCGAGUGGAAUUCCUGGUGUAGCGGUGAAAUGCGCAGAUAUCAGGAGGAACACCAAUGGCGAAGGCAGCUCGCUGGAACGGUACUGACGCUGAGGC
rnacentral:rRNA from 1 species